CCGGUGUCGCGGGACCACGUGUUCCCGUCGGCGCGGUCGCCGUCGCGCUCGUCAGCCGUCUCGGGGGUGUUAGUUACCGGCACGUCGGCCCGGGACGUAUGUCGGCAGGCGGACACGUGUCUCGUGCUUCCGGCGCGCCGCGCGGCCACGCGUCGCGCGGCCGUCGGUGUUCGACGACGGCGGCCGCUACUCCAAUCUUGCUGCGCGGUGCUCUUCACCGAGUGCCGUCGGCGGGCCGACACGUUUACUUUGAACAAAUUAGAGUGCUCAAAGCAGGCUCGAAUCUGGCGGGGCGGCUUCACGGCCGUCUCGUCAAAAGGCCCUGAAUACUGGUCGCAUGGAAUAAUGGAACAAGACCUCGGUCCCGCGCAUCUCCGCCCUUCGCGGGCGCGCGAAAUCGCCCUCCGGGGCGUUUCCGUGCGCGGGCCGCCGGGCCGCGGGCGCCAGUCGCCCGCGCGUCCCGCCGGGCCGGUUUUCGGGACCGGAGGUAAUGAUCAACAGAGACGGGCGGGGGCAUUCGUACCGAGACGUUAGAGGUGAAAUUCUUGGAUCGUCUCGAGACGAACUGACGCGAAAGCAUUUGCCAAGUACGUUCUCGUAUGAUCAAGAACGAAAGUUAGAGGUUCGAAGGCGAUCAGAUACCGCCCUAGUUCUAACUGUAAACGAUGCCAGCUAGCGAUCCGCCGGCGUUUCAUUAACGACCCGGCGGGCAGCUUCCGGGAAACCGAAGCUUUUCGGUUCCGGGGGAAGUAUGAUUGCAAAGUUGAAACUUAAAGGAAUUGACGGAAGGGCACCACCAGGAGUGGAGCCUGCGGCUUAAUUUGACUCAACACGGGAAACCUCACCAGGCCCGGACACCGGAAAGAUUGACAGAUUGAGAGCUCUUUCUUGAU
rnacentral:ncRNA from 1 species